AAAAACCGGUGGCAAAAAAACCCACUCCUAUCGAUCCCCUAGAGACACAGCGCUCCUCUCGCGAACAAGGCCCCGAUCCGCUCUUCCUCCUCUCCCGAGGAUACGCAGCCGCCGCCGCCGAUCUGCCGAUCCGGGCAUCACAGCCGCCGCCGAUCUGCCGAUCCGGGCAUCACAGCCGCCGCCGAUCUGCCUAUCCGGGCAGACGCGGCCUUCACGGAUCACGAGAACGCCGGCGCCGCCGGCUCCUCGGAUGCGUCGCCCCCGGCGCCUCGGAUGCGUCGCCCGUCACCACCACGAUGGCACCUCGCUGAUGCCGCUCGGCAUGGAUUGCCGCCCUGAAGGGGGGCAGGGGGGCGGCCACCGCGGGCCCCCAAACUCUAGGGGCCACAUCCCAGAUCGUGGUCCUUCCCUCCCUACGAUGCAAGUCACGCCCUACGCGGCGGCCGCCAGGAAACAAAUGCGCGAGGCCGCAAGCGGAUCCAGCGGGUUGCGACAUUCAGACGGCCUACCGGGAACAUGAUGGUUGGCUUGUUGCUUCUGAUCUGAUUGCUCCAGGACUCCUUUUGUUUUUCUGCCACAAAGCUCCUUCCACCUAUGAUAUGUGUAUCAAGCAGUCGAUCACAACAGUUCACCAAUCAGCCCUAUUUGCUUCACCGGCCGGAUCUCCUAGAGAGGAACUAUGGAUAAAUUUUAUCAAGAGUAAUAGGGGCACUUCGACGAGUUGGCAGUAAUUCCCGUGGACGAACCAACUACUGAUGUUAAGAAUCAAGAUCCAUAUGAGCUUGGUUACGCACUAAAUUAUUCUGGAGGAUCUCAGGUAAUCGUUGCAGUUGAAGAUUACGCCCCUGGUCAUGAUUCUCAUUUUCAAACUUGCCAUUCAUCAUAGGUUUUGUAUGGAGUGUAUUCAUGCAUUAUAUUGGAGCAGGGACCUGCCGAGGAGGGGGAUACCAUGGGGAGGCGAACCUGGUAAAGUAGGGGUGGAAAGUAGACUAUAGUUAUGUUAUCCGUGGCAAGGACUUGGUGGAUUGUUUACCAUUUAGUUGUGUUCAACACUGAAAAAUGGUAAUAUCAUUUUUUUGUCCUUUGCAAAUUAAAUUAUUAAUCCAUAACAUUAUUUUUAUAUAUGGGCUUCUAUUAGCGCAACUGGAUUGAUGCAGCGGAGAAUUACCUUCAAAAUGAUUAAACGAAUGCGAAGAUUGGCCUUCUUGAAUUUUGACCACGUCUAAUAACACUUCUGAAUUAUGUCUAAUCUCCAUGUAGUUUGGUCCGGUUAUUUCAUCAACUAGCCCACUACUAUGUGCUGGAAGUUAUAUUGUUACUUAAUACAGGCUACACAUUCUAAACAUCUUUUUGACUGUGUUGUCAGAUUGAUUUAUCCAAUGGAACCUCACAUUAAUAAUAAAUUCCUUACAAUAACAAUGUGCUUUAUUUGAAAAUGGUUGAAUAUAAUUACCAAAGUUUGAUGGACGUUCAUAUGGAGAGCGCAAAUGCAAAUGUUCAUAUUGUAUUGACGAUGCUCCCUUUUGAAAUUAACAUGCUUUGUCAAUUUAUUUUCGACAUGAUGUAUUAUCUUAUUACUUUUUAGCCUAUAGGUUUUAUAUGAGUGAAAAUUAAAUAUGACAGUUCUCAGUCUGGUCUUGCCAACCCCUCCAUGUCAACCAGGGGAGUAAGCAGGUCGUUUUUUCGGGGAGGGUGAGGCACAACCUUGUGAAGGAGUGGAGAAGACAGUGUGCUCUGGUCCUCCUCCAAGCCCGCCAGCGACUUAUCAUUUGUUGCUCUUCCCUUACAAGAUCCUUGAGGUCAGGUGUGAUAACUAGCGACACGUGGUGGAGCUUCUGCGGUAGGGCAUCGCCGACGGCAACAUCACCUGCAUCAAACCCUCCCUGGUCGCCUUCGAGAGUGUGUGCACCCGACCUACAAGCUUGUUAUGAUGCCCUUUGAAUUUCCGAGCAAGUUGCAACCUUUCCAGAUUUAUCAACACUGGUCACAUUAGUAGUCAAUAUGGUUCAGAUGCAUAAUAGUACGUACUUCGUUUCCUUUUCGUUGCAUACAUGGCAUCUUGUGAGGAAGUGUUCCUUAUAUUAUGUAACUAGGGAUAAAUAUGACGAAGCCAACAGUAAAGGAGCUCAUGUAAAAAAACUGAAGUUUAAAGGAAAUUGUUAUAAUAUAUAUAUCAAUUCCGACAUUGGUAUCUAAAGGAUGGGUCAAGGAAUAUUUGUCCCUGAUGAGUGAUGGGUUUCCCUGUUUGGCUCCCUUUUCUGUGAGUUGACUCUAUAGAUCUAGGAUCUUCUCUGAAACCGUAAAUUGGCAGUUGUAGCAAAAGUAUAUAUAUAGUUGCUAGACCUUCUCAUUACACUCUUUCACUUUUUUGGCCUA
rnacentral:rRNA from 1 species